GCAGUCGGCCGGUCUGUCGCCCGUCAUUUCGGCAUUCGAAUGCCGGACGGGAGGAAAGUCCGGGCAACACAGAGCGCCAUGCUUCCUAACGGGAAGCUGUCCGCAAGGGCAGAGCAGUGUAACAGAAAAUAACCGCCGCGCACCGACACGGGCGCCGUGGCAAGGGUGAAAAGGCGAGGUAAAAGCUCACCGUUCCCGUGGCAACGCGGGAAGCCGUACACCUGAUGGGUUGCAAGGUCAUGUAUACCGGCAGUAAAGGGUUGCUCGCCCGGUGCCGGGGGGUAGACCGCACGAGCCGGCCGGCGACGGCAGGCCCAGAUGAAUGACAGACGCAUCUUCCCGUCCGCAGCGACGGAGGAUGCACAGAACCCGGCUUACAGGCCGGCUGCAUUU
rnacentral:RNase_P_RNA from 1 species